GUGCUCACUUUGGCGGGACAUAUACUAAAAUUGGAACAAUACAGAGGUGAUUAGCAUGGCCCCUGCUCAAGGAUGACAAGCAAAUUCAUGAAGCGUUCUGUAUUUAA
rnacentral:snRNA from 1 species